UAUUUAUAUUUCGAGAAGUUCAAGUUCUGUACACUAGUACACCCCUAGUUUACAGGGUAUGCUUAGCCAGUUGAAACAAUCCUUAAGUUUUGCAUAAAGCGGAGCUGGCAAAGCUCAUUUUGUACAGCAGCAACCUUCGAGGCGUGUAAUCACAGAGGGGAACAUGGCUAACAUAUCUAAUAGAAACGCACAAGCUGCAGCCCCUUUCCCUCUGUGAGUUUCGUAUGCCACGGCCUUUGGCAGUGAAUUAUUUGCAAUUCUGCGAGGAUGACGGCGACGACGAAGGCGACCACGAGCGCCACAUUGUCAUAGAAAUGAUUAACAAGGCGGGCCACAAAGUUGCCGACUUGGAGCACAAAGGCGGCUGGUAAAAAAAUCGGAAAAAAGAGGGGAUAACCCCGGAGCUCUUCACACACGCACACAAAGGCCGCUGCGUGCAGAGUUCAAGCCGAACACUUGCCACAAACUCCGGCGGAUUGACACGACAACAAUGUGGCAAGAUGGCAGCCGGGGAUCUCUCUCUCCGGAUCCCCACCUAAUAUGCAGUUGACAAGUUUUAAUGAAAAAAAGGAAAAAAUAAGUUGAUGUGGAGAAGACGAACGACGGGAUAGAAGUAGAGGAAGAUGUAGAUCCAGCCCGCUCGAUAAAAGAUUAUUAAAAUUAUCCAAACGAAUGGCAAAAGUUCGCUGCAGCAGUUUGUCAAAGGUUCAAAAGGUUAUCUGCAGCACACGCACACUGGCACACACUCGGAAAAUCUUACGCUCGGAAAAGCGGUGGAAACUCACUCACUUGACGGCCCUUGGUUUACGUGUGCGCGGGUCUACAAAGUUGACAGACAUUUUCCACAAGCAAACGUCAAGCACCCAUCCAGCACUCGACUUGCAUGUGAAUGUCCCCCACAGAUGGGGUCAGGAAGGUGGUUCCGAUAGUCGCCUAAACUGGGAGGUCGCCAGCCUGCCGGGACUAUAGUGCCGACCGCAACUGUGGUGCAGGGGCUUUAAAUUCUGCGUUAUCUGUCCGCAAGCAGUGAAAAUUAAAUUCUGGCCUGGCACACUGGACAGCGGAGGUGCCCCGAAUGCCCGUACAUGAAAUAUGAAAGUAAUCUCCGCAUAUAUUAAGGCAUUUGACGGCUGCUUUAAUAUGCAGCCAGCCGGCAAAAGGAGGCACAGCCCGGCAUCCCAGCAUCCCGGCAUCCCGACAUCUCGGCUCCUGGGCCCUUGAUACUUUGCAUUUUUGCUGAGGCAAACAUAAUUCGUCUAUUAUGCAGGCUGCCACAGAACAGGACGAACACACACAUGGGAUCGCAUGGCGAGGGGCUGGGACGUAGAGGGGCAGGAUGGCGGAGUUCAUAGAUCCUGACUGGCGCUGUAUUCACUUGGCAAUUACUGCUUUAUUUAUUAUGCCGAAAUGGAUUAUCCCUUGCAGUGCCCGGGGAUGCAAUUUCUGCUUGUGCUGCUAUUUUGUGCCGUCAACAUUUUUUCUGCAGCCCCUCCAUCGCCUAUGCUGGGAGAUUUUCCGAAGCACUUGUGUCGUCGCUCCCGAUGGAAAAUAUUUGCAUGGAAGAACUCUGUGGCAACAAGGCCUACGGCCGGGCUCCACAUCUACCCGUCACUCUUGUAUCUAAGCCACAGGCUGCUGCACCGUUUAAAGCGCACAGAGCUUUCCGGUCGCACAAUUGAAUUAAGUAAAAAUAAGCCUGCGAAGGGACAUUAAAUGCGAGGGCUUAAAUGCAAAUUCCUAGAGCCGCACCGGACUUCGCUGGCCCCUGGCGCACGGCGACAUUUGUAACAAAUUCGAUGCACACGAAAUCCAUAAAUCAAAUCAAUAAAAUGACAGCAUGAAAAAUUGCCAACACAAAAAACCGCAGGCCAAACCAUUAUUUUGGAGUCAAAAAAUCGACGGCGAGAGGCGAAAUGUCGCCGGUUUUUACAGGACACCGAGACAAAAAGCACAAAGGGAGCCCCGAAUGAAAUCCGCAACCGCACUCUGAAUGGCAAUCAGCAGUUAGAACAAAACCCUGGCCAUAAUAAUAAUAAUAAUAGAACAAUGCGGGAGCGAUAUGCAAUGGAAGUUAACCUUUCGACACCUACAAAUAAAUAAAUGGCCAAGUAAAUAUUGUAAACAGCGCAGCAGCAAACACAAAAAAGGGGGAGUUUCGCACGGAAAGGCUGUGACGAAACAUGGAAACCGUUUCCAGGAGGCUGGUCUGGUCCUGGGCACUGGCAACGGGUCGUAUGGAUAACAAAUAAAAUUGUUGACUGUGCCAUAAAGCGACAGCCGGAGUUGCAGGAGCAGCAAAACCAGGAGCAGCAGCAGAAACAGAAAUAGUAAUGUAGGAGACAACGAACGAGAUUGAAUGAAAAUCCUCGUAUGACAUAAAAAUAAUACGCAACAUGCGAAAACAGGCAAAAAUGCACACACAACAAAUGGGAAGCUUCGAAGGAAAGGAUUCCGGGGCGUAUUAGUUAUAUUUCCCUUCGCCUGUCUAUGUGUCAGUUUUCCCGUGGCGUCAGCUGGCCAGGAUGAGAUGAAGCCAAGCCCGAGCCAAGGCUAAGUCCCAAUCCCAAACCCAAUCCGGACGCGAGCCAAAGCCAAGUGGAGCAACAGAGAAAUGCCGCUGGCAGAACGGCAAUAAUAAUACGUUAUUGCGAAUAUUGAUUGCCCGAAUUACGGGGGAUCCGAGUCCCAGACCCGUCCCAGAAGCGUGCUAGGAUUUCCUUUUUGGCCAGGAAAUUCGCAUGACAGCGUGUGACGGGCACGCACACACACUGGCAAACGCUGGAAAGGCCAGCAGCAGGUGCUCUUUGUUUAACGCCCAAAUGGCUUUCGGGUUUCACCACUAUCCGAAGACUCGAAAAACACACUCGAACGGCGCAAGGCCGCGGGAUAUCUGAUGACAUGCAACGAUUCUGUCAACAGGAAAGCCAAGUCAAACUAAGCGAGGCCCAGCCCAGGCCAGGCCAGACCAGACCAGCUGUGAUUAAUAAACAAAUUGGAAUACCUUCGGCUAAAUAAAGACCCGAAGACGCGACUCAAUAAAUCACCGGCUUAUCCACUCCCCGCCCGGCCAAAUCAAUUAUAUGCCAGCAGCACACACAAAAACAUGGCCUUUGACAACACGAAUCCAGGGCCAGGAGGCACGGCAGAUAAUUUAUUGAUUACCAUUAACAAACAGCAUGUCAAGUAAGUGUCAUUAGAAUGUCAACGCAUGUUGACGAAGACGCUGCCCCCCGGAUUUGCCUGUCUGGCUCGGCAGUCGGCCAGUUGGCCAUCUGGCUGAUGGACAGCUCGGCUGACCCCUGACCCAUCAGCCCGCGCCCUGGGCCUCUGUCACGCUCAUUAAUUUGCGCGGAGUGUGCGAACAAGUUCAUUUCGUUUGCAAUUUCCUGCCAAAGGCGUUGGGUUACUGACCGCGGCUCCAUCACAGUUGACAACGCAAAUUGACCAAGUUGGCGGGCCAAGAAGCAGCCACCUUGGCAGCUGUCUUCGCUGACGGCCGACACAAAAAAGCACACAAAAUACUGACAGUUUGACAAAUUGUUUAUGUAAAUGGAAGUGCAAGUGGUCGAGCAGCGGGAGAGGGGCGAAGGCAGGCCAAGAUGGCCAGGGCAGGUCGCAGGGGCCGAAAAAAGCUUACGCCUAUUGGCUUAGUGACACGUUUCCGUAUCUCGAUUCUGCGGACUCUCCAGCUAUCCAGUUCCAUAGUCCUCCAGCUGCGGGAUCCAUUUCACGCUGCAAGGGGACAGCAGAACGCCCGAGAAACGCUGACAGGCCGGGCCGUGAAUGGUUUUGUCGGCCCCAUAAAUGACAACGACCUUCGCGGGGGAGGGCUGGGUUUCAGAGGGUUGGCUCUGCGGGAAAGACACCGCCCAGGCAAUUAAAAAUUGCUGUCUUGAAAUUUCAACGGCGGGCAGCGUCUAGCCUGCGGCGAGUUAUAUAGUUUAGGACCUCAGUUCGUCGUCUGCAGCACUGGGAAAAAAGAAGCCUAAUGUAAAAACAGAAACUUACACGGAGCAAAAUGUUGGU